CGUGUAGGCGGCUUGACAAGUCAGAUGUGAAAUCCCUGGGCUUAACCCAGGAAGUGCAUUUGAAACUGUCUUGCUUGAGUAAGGGAGAGGAAAGUGGAAUUCCUGGUGUAGAGGUGAAAUUCGUAGAUAUCAGGAGGAACACCGGUGGCGAAGGCGACUUUCUGGCCCUAUACGGACGCUGAGACGCGAAAGCGUGGGUAGCAAACA
rnacentral:rRNA from 1 species